rnacentral:lncRNA from 1 species
UAUGUUUCUCCCUUUGAGUUUUGCGGAGCUCCCAGGGCAGAAAGCUCUGCUCCGCUCUGCGGCUGCGGGAGGAGCGGAGCCGCGCGGGCGGCCGGGGGGGCCGGGGCGGGGGCGGCCGGCGGUGUCUGCGCAGCUGCGGAGCAGCUGCAGAGCGGCGGGCCGGGGGCGGUCCGCUGGGGCCACCCUUUACCUGUCCCCGCGGGAGGCGGCGCGGCUGUGGCUUUGGGCAAUAAGCGGGAACCUGCCGCGGCUCGCGGCGGGCGGGCGGCCGGCAGGGCCGUGGCGGGAAGGAGGUCCGGGACCGGGGUGAGGGGGGCCGUGGCGGGGCGGCGGGGCCUCUCCCGGGCGCGGGCCGCUCACCUGCGCGGCGGAGCUGCAGCAGCCCAUGGCGUCCGCGGGUCUCUGCCCCGGCCGUGCCCGCUAGGCGCCAGGCAUCCACCCGCCGCGACAACCCGUCCCGGGGCGGCGCGCGGAACCGUUGCGGAACCGUUGGGCCCGUCAGGCGCGCGCGGCUGCAGCGCUAGCCCCACCACGGCGGUGGCUGAGGCGGCGGGGGCGGGGCUUGAUGCGGGGGGCGGGGUUUUGCGGCGGAGGGGGCGGGGUCUGCGGCGGAGGGGCGGGGCUGUGGCGCUGCGGUCGCUGCGUGCCAGCCGGGCGGUCGCGUGGCUGACCUCGCCCCCCACUUCCGCUCUGCCUCGCGGGCCGCUUCCGGUUUUGCCGCGCUGCCAUGGCAACGGCAGGGCCGCGGGGAAGGAGAGGCCGCCGCGGGCCGGGCCGGGGCCGGCGGCCAUGUCGCGGCCGGGCCGGGUCAGCCCUCGCCUUUCUCUCCGUGCCCGCGGCGGGCAGCGCAGGGGUGGUUCCCCCGGCAAGCCGGUGCGGGAGCGCUGCGCGCCGUGCGCAGGGGGAGGUGGCGGCGCCCCAGGUCUCCGGCAGGGCCGUUGGGCGGCCGCAGUGCAGCAGAGGCCUGCGGCGUGUCCCGCCCCUCUCCGCAGCGUGUGCGGCACCCAGGCCUCUGAAAUGGUGCCUGUGGGCAGUUGCGCCAGACGUGAGCCAGCGUGCGCCCCGGGUUCACAGCCAGUUGCCCUACGCCUUUGCUGCUCGUUCGGGCAGGCUUUGUCGCCUUCCCAGAGAGACAAAUGCCAGGGUCCGUCUUCGGAGGUGUGUGCCUCUGUAACUCUGCAAAAAGUUGGUUUCACAAACUGCCGAAGGAGGAUGUUUGUGAAGCAGUUAACUGCUUUAAGUUCAGUCUUUAAGCACAGGCUGGAUGGACCAUGUUACUAA